CCCACAGUGUUGUGCUAACAUUUUAACCUACUCCAAAAUCAAACCAACCCUUCGCUUCUACAUCGGUCACCAUUUUUCUUUCAGCCAUCUGCCUGCCUUAAAGGUUAAGAGUGAAGGUUGGAAAGUUGAAGAGGAACAUGAAAGGAAGCUUCCUCAGUCAGAGGGUCAUAAGAGUGUGGAACAAGCUGUCAGCAUAAGUGGUGCAUGAGAGCUCGACUUCAACGUUUAAACAAAGUUUGGAUAGGAAGAUGCUUCGAGAGGCUGGUUAAAGACUACACCUGCAGGAUGCUACCACCCACAACUGGACCCCUACAAUUCAUCUAGCAACGGAACUGGUCUACCGAUGACGCCAUAGACACAGCACUACACACUGUCCUCUCUCACCUGGAGAAGAGGGAUGCAUACGUUAGAAUGCUGUUCCUGGACUACAGUUCAGCAUUCAACACUAUAGUUCCGUCCAACCUUGACAGGAAGCUCAGAGACCUUGGCCUGCACCCCACCUUGUGCAGCUGGAUCCUGGACUUCCUAUCGGAUCACUAACAGUUGGUAAGGAUGGGCUCCUUCACCUCUGCCCCUCUGACCCUCAACACAGGUGCCCCCAAGUUUGUGUCCUGAGUCCCCUCCUCUAUUCCCUUUACACCCAUGACUGUGCUGCCACACACAGCUCUAAUCUGCUGAUCAAAUUCGCAGAUGACACAACAUUGUUCAGCCUUAUUUCUAGCAGUGACGAGACAGGCUACACAGUGGUGCCAAGAUAACAACCUCUCCCUCAACGUCCAAAAAACAAGAGAGCUGACCGUGGAAUACAGAAGGAACAGAGACAGGCUCACACCGAUCAACCUCAAUGGGACUGCAGUUGAGACGACACUCUACUGGCUCCAUUUCCUGAUUUCUGAGUCAGAGUCCGGAUUACAGAGGCUGAAGCUGUGACUUAGAUUUCCUUCAAAACAUAACAUCUGUCUGAGCUCUCCAGAAUGUCAACAAGAAGGCGGAAACCAUCAGAAAACAGAAUGAUCAACACAUGGAACAAGAUAGCAGAGGCAGAAAGAGUGAAACGACGAGACUAAAGAAAGCAGAAGCACUAAGGAACAUCGGAAGUGAGCAGAAACUGAGGGCACGUAACAUAAACAGAAAAAGAAUUCCCUGUAAACUCAAGAGAUUGUUGUGUGUGAAAAUCCCAAGAGAUCAGCAGGUCUUGAGAUACUCAAGUCACCCCAUCUGGCACCACCAGUCAUUCUAC